CUUUUUGCUGGUAUUUUCGCUAUCCUCCCGCGCCUUUUCGUGUGGUAGGUGACGUCUAUGCUGUCAGCGCCGCAAAUUUGUACUUAUCGGAGUAAUUUGAAUGGCCCGUAUUGCUGGAGUAAACAUUCCAGAU
rfam:Simiduia agarivorans SA1 = DSM 21679, complete genome.